rnacentral:rRNA from 1 species
ACGUAUUCGACCUGAGC